AAAUGAUGGUUGGAUGAAAAAUUUACUUUCUUUAUUUUAAAAUUAAAAUUUAAUUUUUUAGUUAAAAAGCUAAAAUUUGUUUGCAGGACGAGAAGACCCUAUAGAGCUUCACUCCUCUUUCCUUAUUAUUUACUUGUAAAUAAUUUUUUAUUAGGGAAAGAGGAGUUUUAUUGGGGUGAUAAAAAAAAAUUUUUAACUUUUUUUCUUUUUACCAUUUAUUUAUGGUUAUUUUUUGAUCCUUUAAUUAUGGAUAAUAAGAUUAAGCUACCUUAGGGAUAACAGCGUUAUUAUUUUAGAGAGUUCAUAUUGAUGAAAUAGUUUGCCACCUCG
rnacentral:rRNA from 1 species